rnacentral:rRNA from 1 species
AUUGAACGCUGGCGGCAUGCUUUACACAUGCAAGUCGAACGGUAACAGGCCGCAAGGUGCUGACGAGUGGCGAACGGGUGAGUAAUGCAUCGGAACGUGCCCAGUCGUGGGGGAUAACGCAGCGAAAGCUGUGCUAAUACCGCAUACGAUCUAUGGAUGAAAGCGGGGGACCGUAAGGCCUCGCGCGAUUGGAGCGGCCGAUGUCAGAGUAGGUAGUGGGUGGGGUAAAGGCCUACCAAGCCGACGAUCUGUAGCUGGUCUGAGAGGACGACCAGCCACACUGGGACUGAGACACGGCCCAGACUCCUACGGGAGGCAGCAGUUGGGAAUUUUGGACAAUGGGCGCAAGCCUGAUCCAGCAAUGCCGCGUGCAGGAAGAAGGCCUUCGGGUUGUAAACUGCUUUUGUACGGAACGAAACGGUCUGGGUUAAUACCCUGGGCUAAUGACGGUACCGUAAGAAUAAGCACCGGCUAACUACGUGCCAGCCGCCGCCGUAACAC